AUUUGUGACAUUUUAAGGAUUUCAAUUUUGUAAAUAAAUUUCUGUUUCGAUAUAUGUUUUUACAAAACGAUAUCUAUUUUUAAAUUGUUUGGUGAUAGAAUGACUAAUGAAGUAAAAUUACUGAAGGAACUAUCCAGCCGAGCUUAUUAUGCCAGAAAUAAAAAUGUACUAGAGUUUUGUGAUGCUGCGGAGAAAGGAUCAAGAAGGCCACUUCAAACGACCCUCUUAUUAGCAGCGUUAGCUGUUUUAAUGUGGAUUCUUAGCUACAUGCUUACUCUUACAACUAUAACGUUUUUGAAUCUCGGCCCCAUACCUAUAAAAUUAUAUUUGUAUUCUAACGAAACUGAUAUUAUGUAGUGCAAAUAAAAUAGUCUAAAUUUGAA